GCUGGCGGCAGGCUUAACACAUGCAAGUCGAGCGGGGGAAGGUAGCUUGCUACCGGACCUAGCGGCGGACGGGUGAGUAAUGCUUAGGAAUCUGCCUAUUAGUGGGGGACAACAUCUCGAAAGGGAUGCUAAUACCGCAUACGUCCUACGGGAGAAAGCAGGGGAUCUUCGGACCUUGCGCUAAUAGAUGAGCCUAAGUCGGAUUAGCUAGUUGGUGGGGUAAAGGCCUACCAAGGCGAUGAUCUGUAGCGGGUCUGAGAGGAUGAUCCGCCACACUGGGACUGAGACACGGCCCAGACUCCUACGGGAGGCAGCAGUGGGGAAUAUUGGACAAUGGGGGGAGCCCUGAUCCAGCCAUGCCGCGUGUGUGAAGAAGGCCUUAUGGUUGUAAAGCACUUUAAGCGAGGAGGAGGCUACUUUAGUUAAUACCUAGAGAUAGUGGACGUUACUCGCAGAAUAAGCACCGGCUAACUCUGUGCCAGCAGCCGCGGUAAUACAGAGGGUGCGAGCGUUAAUCGGAUUUACUGGGCGUAAAGCGUGCGUAGGCGGCUUAUUAAGUCGGAUGUGAAAUCCCCGAGCUUAACUUGGGAAUUGCAUUCGAUACUGGUGAGCUAGAGUAUGGGAGAGGAUGGUAGAAUUCCAGGUGUAGCGGUGAAAUGCGUAGAGAUCUGGAGGAAUACCGAUGGCGAAGGCAGCCAUCUGGCCUAAUACUGACGCUGAGGUACGAAAGCAUGGGGAGCAAACAGGAUUAGAUACCCUGGUAGUCCAUGCCGUAAACGAUGUCUACUAGCCGUUGGGGCCUUUGAGGCUUUAGUGGCGCAGCUAACGCGAUAAGUAGACCGCCUGGGGAGUACGGUCGCAAGACUAAAACUCAAAUGAAUUGACGGGGGCCCGCACAAGCGGUGGAGCAUGUGGUUUAAUUCGAUGCAACGCGAAGAACCUUACCUGGCCUUGACAUACUAGAAACUUUCCAGAGAUGGAUUGGUGCCUUCGGGAAUCUAGAUACAGGUGCUGCAUGGCUGUCGUCAGCUCGUGACGUGAGAUGUUGGGUUAAGUCCCGCAACGAGCGCAACCCUUUUCCUUACUUGCCAGCAUUUCGGAUGGGAACUUUAAGGAUACUGCCAGUGACAAACUGGAGGAAGGCGGGGACGACGUCAAGUCAUCAUGGCCCUUACGGCCAGGGCUACACACGUGCUACAAUGGUCGGUACAAAGGGUUGCUACACAGCGAUGUGAUGCUAAUCUCAAAAAGCCGAUCGUAGUCCGGAUUGGAGUCUGCAACUCGACUCCAUGAAGUCGGAAUCGCUAGUAAUCGCGGAU
rnacentral:rRNA from 1 species